AUUGAACGCUGGCGGCAUGCCUUACACAUGCAAGUCGAACGGCAGCACGGGUGCUUGCACCUGGUGGCGAGUGGCGAACGGGUGAGUAAUACAUCGGAACAUGUCCUGUAGUGGGGGAUAGCCCGGCGAAAGCCGGAUUUAUACCGCAUACGAUCUACGGAUGAAAGCGGGGGCCCUUCGGGCCUCGCGCUAUAGGGUUGGCCGAUGGCUGAUUAGCUAGUUGGUGGGGUAAAGGCCUACCAAGGCGACGAUCAGUAGCUGGUCUGAGAGGACGACCAGCCACACUGGGACUGAGACACGGCCCAGACUCCUACGGGAGGCAGCAGUGGGGAAUUUUGGACAAUGGGCGAAAGCCUGAUCCAGCAAUGCCGCGUGUGUGAAGAAGGCCUUCGGGUUGUAAAGCACUUUUGUCCGGAAAGAAAUCCUUGGCCCUAAUACGGUCGGGGGAUGACGGUACCGGAAGAAUAAGCACCGGCUAACUACGUG
rnacentral:rRNA from 1 species